rnacentral:rRNA from 1 species
GAUCAUGGCUCAGGAUGAACGCUGGCGGCGUGCUUAACACAUGCAAGUCGAGCGAAGCAAAUCAGAGGAAGUUUUCGGAUGGAAUCCGAUUUGACUGAGCGGCGGACGGGUGAGUAACGCGUGGGUAACCUGCCUCAUACAGGGGGAUAACAGUUAGAAAUGGCUGCUAAUACCGCAUAAGCGCACGAAGCUGCAUGGCAUCGUGUGAAAAACUCCGGUGGU